rnacentral:rRNA from 1 species
GACGAACGCUGGCGGCGUGCUUAACACAUGCAAGUCGAACGGAAAGGCCCCAUCUUGCUGGUGUACUCGAGUGGCGAACGGGUGUGUAACACGUGGGUAAUCUGCCCUGCACUCUGGGAUAAGCCUGGGAAACUGGGUCUAAUACUGGAUGUGACCCUUCUCCUUAUGGGGUUUGGUGGAAAGUUUUUCGGUGUAGGAUGAGCCGGCGGCGUAUCAGCUUGUUGGUGGGGUGUUGGCCUCCCAAGGCGAGGAGGGGUAGCCGGCCUGGGAGGGUGAUCGGCAACAUUGGGCUUAAGAUACGGCCCAGACUCCACCGGGGGGAAGCGGUGGGGAAUAUUGCCCAAUGGGCGGAAGCCUGAUGCAGCGACGCCGCGUGGGGGAUAACGGCCUUCGGGUUGAAAACCUCUUUCCGCAGGAACGAAGCGUAAGUGACGGUACCUGCAGAAGAAGCACCGGCUAACUAUGUG